UUAACUGAAACCAAAAAAGAGGUAUAUUACUGUUAAUAAUAAAAUUGAAUGAAUAUUCCAGUUAAA
rnacentral:tRNA from 1 species